rnacentral:SRP_RNA from 1 species
GCCGGGCGUGGUGGCGCGUGCCUGUAAUCCCACCUACUCAGGAGGCUGAGGCAGGAGAAUCGCUUGAACCCAGUAGGCGGAGGUUGCAGUGAGCCAAGGUCGCACCACUGCACCCCAGCCUGGGUGAAAGAGCGAGACUCUGUCUCAA